UGAGGAAUGAUAGGGAAAAUCUCUAUUGGCACAGAGAAGUAGAGAGCUUUAACAUGCAUGUAUGCUUCUCGUUUGCCAAAGGAGAUUUGCCCUGCCAUUUUCGA
rnacentral:pre_miRNA from 1 species